CGCCGUCCGCGGGAAUUUGAAGUGCCUGACUGGGUGGCCGGGAGACGGAGUCUCGGGGUCGCGUGCACCUGGGCGGCCAGGGAGGCUCCAGUGCCCGGGAGAAAGGCAAGAAAACUGAGGCACAGAGAGAUUGUCACACAGCCAGUUUCUUUCAAAAUGAAGAUUCACGCAGUGAUUGUAACUGUCUUGAUGAGCCAGGUUGUAGUUUACAAAGUUUUAUUCCAGAAGGAAAAAAGCCACUUCACCUAGAAAUUUUGCAAACAAAUCAACUUUUACUCUGUGAGUAAUCCAGGGCCUAUCAAGACUACAUUUUAGUUGACUGCAAGGCCUCUGAGGCACGGGAAUUCACAGCUGAGUUCUUGGAGAAGGUCCUUGAGCCAUCUGGAUGGCGGACAGUCUGGCACAUGAUGUGCUCAAGGUGCUGCUUGAGGCCACAGAUGUGGACAUUUCAGCCUUGAAGGCAGUGGUGCAGCUUGCUGAGCCAUACCUCUGUGAAUCUUGAGCGAGUACUUUCACCUUGGAGUGUGUGAAAGAGCUCCUCGAGCUGAAGGAACAUCAGUUGCCCCUGAAGGAGCUGGGUGGUGUUUGAUGAUUCUGGAGACAGCACUUGUAACUUGUAACUGAGCAUGUCAGCUAGGAAGGAGGUAUCUGGUCAGAGAAGGUGUUUUCUGAGGCUGCUUCCUGGAUCCCUAGGGUUUGUGUUCCUGCCAUUCAGCCUAUUUGGCAGUUAUUUCCACCUGUACAAACAGACCCUUUGUCCCUUACAUGAGAAAGAAAGCCCACACCUGGAUUCAUAUUAAUAGGAUAGCCACUGAGCAAGCCUGUAAGGCUAUUGGUCUGCCCAUUCUGGUUUCUUCACCAAUGAGAAAACUGGGACCUGGGGAGUUUGCAGAAGCCAUCCAAGGGCACCUGCUUCUCACAGCACAGCAGCUUCCUGCAGCCCUCCCUCCUGUCUUGUUUCUCCCUUAAUUGAGAGGAGAGGCCAGAACCAGAUGCAGGCAGUUCCAACAGUAAUGAAUUGCUCUAAGGUGUGGAUCCAAGAACCGGUGACAAGGUCAGGAAAUUCCAUCCCGGGACACUGACCCAACUAAGAGACUGUGCAUGAUGGCUAAGUUCAGAGCUCUGAGGAGAUGGUAAAACUCAUUUGCAACGAAACAAGAUAUUUUCCAACUCUGCAGCCAGAAACCAUCCUCCUGGCUGUCUCACCAUCAGCGCCACCUCUCCGUGGGUCUGGAGUCUUGAGGAGCCAGGACUGGACUGGGAUGUAAGGUUGGGUCUUCCGAGCUGUAGAUGGGAGCAGGAAGAUGUAUCUCCAUUCACGAUCUCAGUACAAGGCUCAGCUAUCUCCCGGCAACUCGCCCAUCAUCUGUUUCUGAGUUCUUCUGACAUACAGGUUCUUUGGAGGCGGCAUCAAGAAAAUACAUUUGGACAAAUCCUUCAUCUCAAAUAUUUUCCCCUCAUGAAACCAAAGGCAUUGCUCCAAAGUCAUUUCCAUUAAUUAGACAUGCAUCUUGUAUGACUGAAGGAGAAUCUAGUCCACAAACUCUGGGUUAAUUUUCUCUUCUGACAUCUGUGUGUAGUGUUUCUCUGAGGAGCUGAAUUAUCUGCUCUCCAGUGCCUUCCUCUCGGUGUUUUUUGGCCAGGAGCAAGGAGACAGGCAGCUGCAUUCUGGGAGCAGCAAGCAAUUCUGAGAACUGGAGCUGCUUAGGUUCUUUCACUUCUGCUUCAAAGGAAUACGUUGAGUUUGCAGAGAAUGAAGGAGAGAAAGACUCCAAGUUCCAAGCAGGGUCUUGGGGUAGUCUCUGAGCAUCCCAAUGUACUUACUUCCUCCCCACAGCUUCCUCACUGGGCUCCCAGCCACCAGUAUUUGUCUCUUUAAUCCCCCAACACAGAGCUACUAGAUGGAUUUCUUUCUUUCUUUUUUGUUUCUUUCUUUCGAUCGAUUUCUCUUUCUUUCUUUCUUUCUCUUUCCUUCUUUCUUUUCUUUCCUUUUCUUUUCUUUCUUUCUUUUUCUUUCUUUUACAUCUUCCUUCCUUCCUUGCUUCCUUUCUCUCUCUUUUUCUUUCUUUUAUGGUUUUUUUUUUGUUGUUGUUGUUGUUGUUUUUAGACAGUCUUGCUCUGUCACCCAGGCUGGAGUGCAGUGGUGCAAUCUCGGCUCACUGAAGUCUCAACCUCCUAGGCUCAAACAGUCCUCCAACUUCAGCCUCCCAAGUAGCUGAGACUACAGAUCAGCAAUCUGGCUAAUUAAAAAAAAAUUUUUUUUAGAGAUGGGGUCUUACUAUGUUGCCCAGUCUGGUCUUGAACUCCUAGCCUCAAACAGUCAUCCUCCCUUAGCCUCCUAAAGUGCCGUGAUUAUAGGCGUGAGCCACCAUGCCCAGCUGGAUUUUUUCUUUUAACUGUAGUUUUAUCAUGUUCUUUUUGCUUAAAAUAAACUUUUCUGAAGUAAAUUCUGGACUCUGCAAGGUCUUUGUUCUAUUUGUUAUGGUGUUUGGGCAAGCCCUCUGUUUUCCUGUCCAGAGCAGGCCUGGGACCUUUGCCUUCGGUGGCUUUCCUGGGAUCCCCCACUACCCAGAAGAGCAGGGCUAUUGCCUCUGCUCGUCCCCAGAUCCCAACCCUCCAUGGGCCUGCCCUGGAUCCUUGCUGUUGGAGGGGAGGCACAACUUCACCUCUACCCUCAUAGGGAUUUUUGGCUGCACCUGC
rnacentral:lncRNA from 1 species